CUUGGUUCAGGAUGAACGCUAGCGACAGGCCUAACACAUGCAAGUCGAGGGGCAGCACAAGGAGCAAUCUGAGGUGGCGACCGGCGCACGGGUGAGUAACACGUAUGCAACCUGCCUGUAAGCGGGGAAUAACCCGUUGAAAGACGGACUAAUACCGCAUAAUACUAAAUUACUGCAUGGUAAUUUAUUUAAACAUUUAUGGCUUACAGAUGGGCAUGCGCAUGAUUAGCUAGUUGGAGAGGUAACGGCUCCCCAAGGCAACGAUCAUUAGGGGUUCUGAGAGGAAGGUCCCCCACACUGGUACUGAGACACGGACCAGACUCCUACGGGAGGCAGCAGUGAGGAAUAUUGGUCAAUGGACGAGAGUCUGAACCAGCCAAGUCGCGUGCAGGAAGAAUGUCCCUAUGGAUUGUAAACUGCUUUUGCAGGGGAAUAAAGUGCAUCACGUGUGAUGUUUUGUAUGUACUCUGCGAAUAAGGAUCGGCUAACUCCGUGCCAGCCGCUGC
rnacentral:rRNA from 1 species